UGACCAUGCUGGAUCAAGCUCAUACGGGCAGCGAUCAAUUCUUCAAAAAGAGGCUUCAAGCCGUUUGAUGCCAAUCCUAUUGAAGUCUACUGUCAUAUUCGACAUAAAACUGAGAAUUAUAGGUUGUAUAUUUAAAGCAGGGGUCACCAACGUGGUGCCCGUGGGCACAGGGGAGCCCCCUCAUGGACUACUUGAGGGGCUAUUCCAAAAAUUGCCCACCAGUGAUCAGACAGUGUGACUCUCUUGGGAAUAUUGUAGUCAUUUCAAAAUGUGAACACUGGCAGAUAUUUAUAAUAAAGUGUGGCCAAUUGAUAUUUAUCCGUUUCAUAAUUAUUGUGGGAAAUCACGAAUGUGAUCAGUGUCUUCUCAGAGAUAAAUAUCAUUUAUCACUGAUUGUAACGUGAAGGUAGUUGGCGCAAAUUGAUUUCAAAAGUGCAUACUAUCAAACUGGUAGCCUACCGCAUUAAUCAGGAGCCAAGAAGGAGCUCUUAGUUUCAAAAAGGUUGGUGAUCCCUGAUUUAAGGCAACCACACAACUUUACCUUAAGCUAACUUAAUGCUAACAAUUCAAAAUGCAAUAUGGUAUCGACUGGCACGGUGUUGUAACUAGGGCCGGACCAGUUCAGGAUGUAGCCCGCCUCUCACCUGAAAGUCGGCUGGGAUUGAAUCCAGCACAGCCACGACCAGAGUGAGGAUAAGCAGAUCAAAAUAAUUGAUGGAUGACUAUGUUUUUUUUCUUCCAUUAAUAAAUGUCUAAGAAUAAAGUCAAGAAUCACUGGAAGACUAUUUAACUGCUUUCCAAUACUUUGUCCUUCAGUAUUUGAUUAACUUCACAACAGAGGGGAAAAAAUGGCAGAUUAGUUUUGCCAAUUAUUUUUGGGGGGUGGGAUCUUUCAAUGUCAUUAUCUUUGCGCUAUGUUAGAGUGUGUUAAUGUGUAAAAAUAAUAAUUAGCAAGGAAAGCAGCUGACUUAUGCCAAUUUUAAUGAAGCUAACGUCAGCCGAUGAAUCGGUCGGACCCUAUUUAUAACUGUUUAAGACAUAGAUACUUGAACACAAAGACUGCAUCAACACAUGUAGACAAACAAUAUAAUAAUACUCACAAGCACAGUGACAGUAUCAUUGCCCUUUACGAAGCCAUUUACAGCAGUUGGGAAAGUCUUCUUUGUUUGUGUCCUCGUGACGGUAUUAGUGUUUGUUCCCUUUUUUCUACUUUUACCGCCCCCCCCUCACCAUUUGUCCCAUUUCAGCUAGGUAAUAUAACAACUAUAAUAGUGAGAGCAUGUCAGAAAUGAAUCCUUUGAUUUAUAAGGACAGGCUUUAUUUCUUUGAUCUAUAUUGAUCCAAGUAAGGUAAUUGAGAACAGGUUUUUAUUUUCACUGCCGACAUGGCAAUGGACUUAGCUCUUUGGGUUCAGUUUGGAACACAUAGUUUGCCGUUUCCAUGAUCAAAUACACAAUCUGUCACUCCCAAAUUUUUUGGCAUGUUUUCAUGGGGAAUCGUUCUCUGAAUGUAAUCAAUCCAACCAUGAUAUUGUGUUAUUAAGCAGAAUAUGCUACCAGGAGGAGUUGCCUGAAGAUCUCGGUGAAUGUCAUGAAACAUGACAUCGCGCUGUCGUCUUCAAACAGCAAACGAGUUGAGACAGAAUCGGACUCACUUAAUUAGGAUAAGCAUCCUUUUUUUUUUCCUUUGCUACUACAUGUGACGUUCUCGUAUUUGUUGUCCUAUCCUAAGGAAGCCCUCAACAGGGUGUUAGCGAGCUUUUAAAACGGACCAACACCCAUCCGCACACAAAUGUGUCGUAUCAGCACAGGAAAGGACUGCGCUCGCUGAUAAGCUGUGUGAAGCUCCUCCAGAUCAGAGGGCUGAGAUUUCAAUUGGGG